UGUUCAACGGCCGCGGUAUCCUAACCGUGCGAAGGUAGCGUAAUCACUUGUUCUUUAAAUAAGGACUAGUAUGAAUGGCACCACGAAGGUUAUACUGUCUCCUUUUUCUAAUCAGUGAAACUGAUCUUCCCGUGAAGAAGCGGGAAUUUAUUUAUAAGACGAGAAGACCCUAUGGAGCUUUAAACAAAAUAACAAUUGCUAUACCCAUUAAUAAUUUCAGAAAACUUAAACUCAUUCUAGCACCAUGAUUAUUAGUUUUAGGUUGGGGUGACCGCGGAGAAAAAAUUAACCUCCACAUUGAAAGGAUAUUCCUCCUAAGCAAAAAGCUACAACUUUAUGCAUCAAUAAAUUGACAUUAAUUGACCCAAUAUUUUGACCAACGAACCAAGUUACCCUAGGGAUAACAGCGCAAUCCACUUCAAGAGCUCCUAUCGACAAGCGGGUUUACGACCUCGAUGUUGGAUCAGGGUAUCCCAGUGGUGCAGCCGCUACUAAAGGUUCGUUUGUUCACCGAUUAAAACCCU
rnacentral:rRNA from 1 species